rnacentral:rRNA from 1 species
AAAUUGAAGAGUUUGAUCAUGGCUCAGAUUGAACGCUGGCGGCAGGCCUAACACAUGCAAGUCGAACGGUAACAGGACGCAGCUUGCUGCUUCGCUGACGAGUGGCGGACGGGUGAGUAAUGUCUGGGAAACUGCCUGAUGGAGGGGGAUAACUACUGGAAACGGUGGCUAAUACCGCAUAACGUCGCAAGACCAAAGAGGGGGACCUUCGGG